UGAACAGAAAACCUUAUAGCGAGAAGUAGGUAGAUAUAAUUGAUUGGAAAUAAAAAAACUCAUGCUCCUCCAUUAUGCAAAGGAUCAAAUUAGUUUUUUUCCCCAAGGCUAUUGCUUUUUCUGUGUUCAAUUAAAUUAAAACAAGCUGAAAAAUUUCUGCAUCAGUAAGUUAUCGAUAUCGAUUUUGCGUGAUUGGUUGCUAUGAGAAGAUAGUCAAAACGGAGAAUUUGUUAAUUUUUUGUACACAGGCGUAAUAGAAAUGCUCCUAAAUCUCGUUUCAAUAUUGGCAUGGAUAUGUUUUUUUGCGCAGGGGGUUUCUCCGAAAUUUGUGUAGCGCUGAUCCAAACCACGUUGACUUUAGAAAACUUGAAAAAACAUUUUUGAAUUUUUCAUAUUACUUGUAUGUCACACUUUUAAUUACUUGAAAAAAAAAAUCAUGAUGAAUUCUUAACAUUUGCACUUCACUGUAAAUAAUGGAAGAACCGUACUUUUUUGAUUUCCUCAACUACGCAGCAAUCGUACCUAAUUCUCUUUUUAAAUUCGUGGUAAAAAAUUUAUUCUGUAAAAUUUCGACCACCGAUUAUUAAAUUUUUAAUCCCGCCAAGCUCAAGUAACCAUUGUAAGAGGGAAAUUGCUCAUCAUUAUAAGCCCCCGUGUACAUAGCAACCCACGAUCAAAUCAAUAAAAAACAUACAGAUUAUCACCAUCAAACAAGAAUAUCACAUGCUUCCAUAUGAAUAAAACACAAAUCUAAAUUACCCAGGUACUCAAUAAAAUUUAUCCCUCACACGUUUAAUCAAACACACCUAGUUUCGAGUACUUAGGUACCUACCUACUAUUUACACAUUUGCUAUUUCUGUGACCAAAUGAUACGAAAAUAAUUCUCGGAACACGUAGAAAGUUAAGCUGACUUAUCUCGCAACUUGAACUUUAUAUUAUGGUAAUGAAUCAUCUUUACGAGUAGGUAGUUGGAGUUUUCUUUUAAAUAAUAAUAAAACUGAGCAGUAAAACCAUUAUUUUUUCAUUUCGAGUUGAUCAAGUAUAAACAACAGUUUCUGUGCAAAUUUUUCGUCUUGAAAGCUAUAACAAUGACACCGAAGAUAGUUCUCGUGUUCAUAACUUUGGCGAUCCUUUGCGUGGUGCAAGGAUAUGUUGCCCAAUUCGACGCCGAUUCUUUUCACAAGCCACCUAAGCCUUCGAAUGCUUUACUCGGAUUUGGUGGUAAUCAAGAAUGCGUCCAUGCUAAUACCACGUACGGUUCGAGAGUCGCUGGAGAUUGGAGAGCGUACUCAGAAACUUUCAAUAAAUCGGGCAGCUUUUUCCGCAAAACGGCAGUGGAAAUGAAAUAUCCUUCAAAUGGCUCCAGAUCAUACUGCCCUAUUUCAAUGAUAAAUGUCGAGAAUUUAUACCGAAAAUGUAAAUGUUACAAGGAAAAGGUAGAAAUAACCGAGGGUGGUCUUCGAUACGGUAAUGUUAGCUUAAGGUUCACCACUGAUACUAAUUGCCGGAAUAUACACAGAGUUACAAUUUAUACCAAAUGUUGAGCUUAAAUUACAUAAAAUACCGCAAAUGUAAGAUUACGAUUAGAUUAAAAUUAUUUUAAAAAGUGACGAAUAAAAAAUAAUUUUUAGAUUUCAA